rnacentral:lncRNA from 1 species
CUUUGGUCUCUCUCUCGGGCUUCCCAUUCUUGGGCUAACAUAUUGAACACAUGUUGGAAUUUCUUGGCUCGACUUUUUGUGAUUGGUCCGCAAGGCACUUGAAUUUUUUUUUCCAACUCUUUGAGUCUGUCUUGGAUAUCUUUAGUUUCCGUGUUUGGUUCUUGAGACUGAGUUUCUUGCUGGUGUUGCUUAAACUCACAUUAUCCUCCCAUUUUCAAAAAGAUUUGUCCUCAAAUUUUCAUCUACUUAAAAAAGAGAAAGAUAAAAAACGUUAAAUAUAAUAGACACACCAUACUCACCUAGUAAGUCGAUUUUGUAGGCGUUAUUGUUGACCUGUUCCAAGACUUAAAAUAGUCCGUACCACCUAGGAUCCAAUUUUGACUUUCGUAGUUUAGAUAAUCUUUCUUUCCACAUGUGAACCCAAACCCACUGUCCUGGUUGGAAUACAACUCGUUUUUUCCUUUGUUGGCAUGU